rnacentral:tRNA from 1 species
CGCUUUUAGUAUAAAAUAAAUAUAUUUAGCUUCCAACUAAAAGAUCUUGAAAUACAAACCAAGAAAACGUAA